rnacentral:rRNA from 1 species
CGGUACUUUGACCGUGCGAAGGUAGCAUAAUAAUUAGUUUUUUAAUUGAAAGCUGGAAUGAAUGGUUGAACGAGAAAAAUACUGUCUCAAAUUAAAUUUAUUAGAAUUUUAUUUUUAAGUUAAAAAGCUUAAAUAAUUUUAAAAGACGAGAAGACCCUAUAGAGUUUUAUAUAUAUUAUUAUUUAAAAUUUUUAGAAUUAUAUAAUUUUUUAUAAUAAUAUAUAUUUUAUUGGGGUGAUAGAAAAAUUUAAUAAACUUUUUUUUAAUUAAAACAUUUAUUUAUGAAUUUUUGAUCCAUUAUUUAUGAUUAUAAGAUUAAAUUACCUUAGGGAUAACAGCGUAAUUUCUUUAAAGAGUUCAAAUCGAAAAAGAAGUUUGCGACCUCGAUGUUGGAUUAAAAUUAAAUUUUGGUGUAGAAGCUAAAA